AGAAUGUUGAAAUUCAUAGGUUCCGGCUCUCUAUUAUGCCCUGGGAGAGCAACUGCGCAAAGGGAAUACGGUAAAAUCCGUAGCGGACGCGCCGCUGUAACCGGGGACGAAAGCCUGAUUUAUGCCACUGUCCAUUUAGUAACGGAUGGGAAGGCCGGGCGAAUAGGAUGAGCCGGGAGCCAGAACACCUGCAGAUGCCUCGUGAUCCGA
rnacentral:ncRNA from 2 species